CUUAACACUUGGCUUGCUCCGAUUGCGAACUCCUCCUACUGGAAAUACCAAAAUGUCCUUCCUAUUUAUCCUCGCACGGAGGGCAGCUGCUUUCUCUCCCAAAUAGCGGCCUCCGCUUCCUCUUUCACAGCAGCCGAACCUCACGCGGGACUAGGUCAGAAAGACUGAUAUCGCCCUACCAGAUAGCUCAAUCGCAGUUAUCCCAUGUAUUCUUCCACUUGAAGUGACAGCAAAAAUUUCCGGGCAAUGCUGAAUUUUCCAUUGGCAUCAACCCAGUCAUCAUCAGUUGAUUCCUGCAAUCCUGAAGUGAGCAUGUGUCUGCAGUGAAUUUUAAAAUCUAUGUCUGGAAGUUUGGGAUGGAGUUACCUUUUGGCUAUUGCUUUGCAUAAGCAUUUUUACUAACAUUUUACCCAGUCAUUGCUUAUAUUCCAAAUGAUCACCUAACUUCUCACUUUUUAGCUUUUAGACAUGUAAUAUGACUGAUUUCCCGACAAGUUUUUAAGUUCCAAUGUUGAGAUCUCUUUGUUCA